UACGUAGGGAGCAAGCGUUGUCCGGAAUCAUUGGGCGUAAAGCGCGCGUAGGUGGCCCCGUAAGUCCGCUGUGAAAGUCAAAGGCUCAACCUUUGAAAGCCGGUGGAUACUGUGGGACUAGAGUACGGAAGAGGCGAGUGGAAUUCCUGGUGUAGCGGUGGAAUGCGCAGAUAUCGGGAAGAACACCCGUGGCGAAGGCGGCUCUCUGGGACGGUACUGACGCUGAGACGCGAAAGCGUGGGGAGCGAACAGG
rnacentral:rRNA from 1 species